rnacentral:rRNA from 1 species
GAUGAACGCUGGCGGCGUGCCUAAUACAUGCAAGUCGAGCGAACAGACGAGGAGCUUGCUCCUCUGACGUUAGCGGCGGACGGGUGAGUAACACGUGGAUAACCUACCUAUAAGACUGGGAUAACUUCGGGAAACCGGAGCUAAUCCCGGAUAAUAUAUUGAACCGCAUGGUUCAAUAGUGAAAGACGGUUUUGCUGUACCUUAUAGAUGGAUCCGCGCCGCAUUAGCUAGUUGGUAAGGUAACAGCUUACCAAGGCAACGACGCGUAGCCGACCUGAGAGGGUGAUCGGCCACACUGGAACUGAGACACGGUCCAGACUCCUACGGGAGGCAGCAGUAGGGAAUCUUCCGCAAUGGGCGAAAGCCUGACGGAGCAACGCCGCGUGAGUGAUGAAGGUCUUCGGAUCGUAAAACUCUGUUAUUAGGGAAGAACAAAUGUGUAAGUAACUAUGCACGUCUUGACGGUACCUAAUCAGAAAGCCACGGCUAACUACGUG